CCCCGGAUCAAAUGCAGCCAGGAAGCGGCGAGAAACACUGGCCACUCAGAUUAGAACCAGUUUCUGCUCACAGUCAUAGUCAGGCUGUCGCUGGAGGGAUGUUUUAAAAGAUAAAUAAGAAGCCAGCUGCACAAGAUGCGACCAUUUCCUUUUUUGAGGAGGAGGUAAUGCGCCAGCGAAUCUCCAGGAAGGGCCCGGGUGACAUUUUUAUUAUUAUGGAUGUGCCCACGCAUGAUGAGAGGAGGGGAGAAGGCCACCCGAGAGCUUUCUUCACGUCGGAUCAAGAAGAAGGGGCGAAAAAAAAAUCAGAUAUUGUUUAUCUGACUUUUAUCUGCGGCCAUUCCCCUUUAUUUUAUUAAAUAUUAAAUAUGGCCACUGGUUUAACAUUAUUUUUGAUUUGCAUUACUACAGACAUUUACCAGUGUUCAUCCAUUUAUUGUUUAACACCUAACAUUUUAUAUUAGACUUAAAGAUUUUGCCAAUUGUCUAAAAAUGUAUUUUUCAUAUUGUCACCUCUACGAUUCUGCACCGUCAGGAAAUAUAUGACGUCAAUAUAUCAAUAAUAAAACGUCAAAAAUUCGAAAUAUAUUUUGACAUUUUUAUUCAAGUAACUGUCUUGAAAUGCAUCUGAUGUGUCCAAAUUAAAACUACGGGGUUUGCUACAAUUAUAUUUCAAUUAUUUUUUUAUUUAUUUCUUCGACCUGGAGCAGCAUGGAAUGUGUGACAUCGAAAAAAAAAAUGAUGGCGUCUGUUUCUGUUUUCUUCAAUAAAGAAACUGCUUAACGCG